UAGCUCAGUUGGUAGAGUGCUUGCCUUGCAUGCAUAAAGCCCUGGGUUCAAUCCCUAG
rnacentral:tRNA from 1 species